rnacentral:rRNA from 1 species
GAUGAACGCUGGCGGCGUGCCUAAUACAUGCAAGUCGAGCGAACAGACGCGGAGCUUGCUCCUUCGACGUUAGCGGCGGACGGGUGAGUAACACGUAUGUAACCUACCUAUAUGACUGGGAUAACUUCGAGAAACCGGAGCUAAUACCGGAUAAUAUUUCGAUCCGCAUUGUUCGAUAGUGAAAGAUGGCUUUGCUAUCACUUAUAGAUGGACAUGCGCCGUAUUAGAUAGUUGGUACGGUCACGGCUUACCAAGGCAACGAUACGUAGCCGACCUGAGAGGGUGAUCGGCCACCCUGGAGCGGGAACAGGGUCAUGACGCCUACGGUAGGCAGCAGAAGGGUAUCGGAGGCAAUGGGGGAAAGCCUUACGGAGCAACGCGGAGUGAGUGAUGAAGGCCUUGCGAGCGUAAAAACGUGUUAUUAGGUAAGAACAAACGUGAAAGGAAACGUGCAGGUCUUGACGGUAACUAAUCAGAAAGCCACGGCUAACUACGUG